AUUGAACGCUGGCGGCAUGCCUUACACAUGCAAGUCGAACGGCAGCACGGGAAGUUGUUCCUGGUGCCGAGUGCCGGACGGGGGCGUGUUACAUAGGCACCGGUCUUGACUUGGGGGUGGGGGAGGAGGAAGCCGGACUUAUACUACUAACGCACAACGGCUGAGAGCGGGAGCCCUUGGGGCUUCGCGCUUUCGGGUUGGCAUGUGGCGAUGUAGGUUUAGGUAGGGGGCGGGGUAAAGGCCGACCAAGGCGACGAUCCGUAGCUGGUCUGAGAGGAGGACCAGCCACACUGGGACUGAGACACGGCCCAGACUCCUACGGGAGGCAGCAGUGGGGAAUUUUGGACAAUGGGCGAAAGCCUGAUCCAGCAAUGCCGCGUGUGUGAAGAAGGCCUUCGGGUUGUAAAGCCCUUUUGUCCGGAAAGAAAAGCAUGACGUUAAUACCCCCCUGUUAUGACGGUACCGGAAGAAUAAGCACCGGCUAACUACGUG
rnacentral:rRNA from 1 species